rnacentral:misc_RNA from 1 species
AUGAACCCGAGGCUUCACCAG